GACGAACGCUGGCGGCGUGUUUAACACAUGCAAGUCGAACGGAAAGGCCUCUUUCGGGGGGUACUCGAGUGGCGAACGGGUGAGUAACACGUGAGUAACCUGCCCUUGACUUUGGGAUAACUUCAGGAAACUGGGGCUAAUACCGGAUAGGAGCUCCUGCUGCAUGGUGGGGGUUGGAAAGUUUCGGCGGUUGGGGAUGGACUCGCGGCUUAUCAGCUUGUUGGUGGGGUAGUGGCUUACCAAGGCUUUGACGGGUAGCCGGCCUGAGAGGGUGACCGGCCACAUUGGGACUGAGACACGGGCCAGACUCCGACGGGUGGCAGCAGUGGGGAAUAUUGCACAAUGGGUGGAAGCCUGAUGCAGCAACGCCGUGGGCGGGAUGACGGGCUUCGUGUUGUAAACCGAUUUCGCUCAUGGCGAAGCUUUGUGUGACGGUAGUGGGUAAAGAAGCACCGGCUAACUACGUG
rnacentral:rRNA from 1 species